GAUGAACGCUGGCGGCGUGCCUAAUACAUGCAAGUCGAGCGAACGGACGAGAAUCUUGCUUCUCUGAUGUUAGCGGCGGACGGGUGAGUAACACGUGGAUAACCGACCUAUAAGACUGGGAUAACUUCGGGAAACCGGAGCUAAUACCGGAUAAUAUUUUGAACCGCAUGGUUCAAAAGUGAAAGACGGUCUUGCUGUCACUUAUAGAUGGAUCCGCGCUGCAUUAGCUAGUUGGUAAGGUAACGGCCUACCAAGGCGACGAUGCGUAGCCGACCUGAGAGGGUGAUCGGUCACACUGGAACUGAGACACGGUCCAGACUCCUACGGGAGGCAGCAGUAGGGAAUCUUGCGCAAUGGGCGAAAGCCUGACGGAGCCACGCCGCGUGAGUGAUGAAGGUCUUCGGAUCGUAAAACUCUGUUAUUAGGGAAGAACAUAUGUGAAAGUAACUGUGCACAUCUUGACGGUACCUAAUCAGAAAGCCACGGCUAACUACGUG
rnacentral:rRNA from 1 species